rnacentral:tRNA from 1 species
GGAUCCAUAGUGUAGUGGUUAGCACAACUGCUUUACACACAGAAAGUCCUAGGUUCGUGCCCCAGGUAGAGCCA